rnacentral:rRNA from 1 species
CCUACGGGUGGCUGCAGUGAGGAAUAUUGGACAAUGGGCGAAAGCCUGAUCCAGCAAUACCGCGUGAAUGAUGAAGGCCUUAGGGUUGUAAAGUUCUUUUAGUAGGGAAGAUAAUGACGGUACCUACAGAAAAAGCCCCGGCUAACUCCGUGCCAGCAGCCGCGGUAAGACGGAGGGGGCUAGCGUUGUUCGGAAUUACUGGGCGUAAAGGGCGCGUAGGCGGAUUAGUAAGUUGGAAGUGAAAUCCCGGAGCUUAACUUCGGAACUGCUUUCAA